rnacentral:rRNA from 1 species
AUACGUAGGGGGCGAGCGUUGUCCGGAAUUACUGGGCGUAAAGGGUGCGUAGGCGGCAUGUUAAGUUGGAUGUGAAAUCCCCGGGCUUAACCUGGGGGGUGCAUUCAAAACUGGCAAGCUAGAGUGCAGGAGAGGGAAGCGGAAUUCCUAGUGUAGCGGUGAAAUGCGUAGAUAUUAGGAGGAACACCAGUGGCGAAGGCGGCUUUCUGGACUGUAACUGACGCUGAUGCACGAAAGCGUGGGGAGC